rnacentral:rRNA from 1 species
AGCCGGAAACGAGUUAUCUAGAACCUUCGGGGAACGAUAACGGCGUCGAGCGGCGGACGGGUGAGUAAUGCCUAGGAAAUUGCCCUGAUGUGGGGGAUAACCAUUGGAAACGAUGGCUAAUACCGCAUGAUGCCUACGGGCCAAAGAGGGGGACCUUCGGGCCUCUCGCGUCAGGAUAUGCCUAGGUGGGAUUAGCUAGUUGGUGAGGUAAGGGCUCACCAAGGCGACGAUCCCUAGCUGGUCUGAGAGGAUGAUCAGCCACACUGGAACUGAGACACGGUCCAGACUCCUACGGGAGGCAGCAGUGGGGAAUAUUGCACAAUGGGCGCAAGCCUGAUGCAGCCAUGCCGCGUGUAUGAAGAAGGCCUUCGGGUUGUAAAGUACUUUCAGUCGUGAGGAAGGCGGCGUCGUUAAUAGCGGCGUUGUUUGACGUUAGCGACAGAAGAAGCACCGGCUAACUCCGUGCCAGCAGCCGCGGUAAUACGGAGGGUGCGAGCGUUAAUCGGAAUUACUGGGCGUAAAGCGCAUGCAGGUGGUUUGUUAAGUCAGAUGUGAAAGCCCGGGGCUCAACCUCGGAAUAGCAUUUGAAACUGGCAGACUAGAGUACUGUAGAGGGGGGUAGAAUUUCAGGUGUAGCGGUGAAAUGCGUAGAGAUCUGAAGGAAUACCGGUGGCGAAGGCGGCCCCCUGGACAGAUACUGACACUCAGAUGCGAAAGCGUGGGGAGCAAACAGGAUUAGAUACCCUGGUAGUCCACGCCGUAAACGAUGUCUACUUGGAGGUUGUGGCCUUGAGCCGUGGCUUUCGGAGCUAACGCGUUAAGUAGACCGCCUGGGGAGUACGGUCGCAGAUUAAACUCAAUGAUUGACGGGGGCCCGCACAGCGUGAGCAUGUGUUUAUUCGAUGCACGCGAGACUUACUACUCUGACAUCAGAGACUUCAGAGAUGAUG